CAAAGAAAGAUGAGGAAAGGUCAAAAAACAAAUCAAAUCCUAAAAUUAAAGAGGGCGGGAGAGGGGGGGGGGGGGGGCGCGGAAAGUAAAGUCUCUUUCUGAGAGCUUUCAUUCUUCACUGUUACGGUACCCUUUGAUGUCGGCGGCUACUCCGUGUUCAGACAAUGUUCCUCGCCUAUAUCCUAUGUCGGUGUUUGUUUUCAGAUCUGUAGCUGGAGAAAAUUUCUCUAAGAGAUUGCGGCUAGGGUUUAUCAAAGAGGCCAUCUAGAGACUUGAAGACCAAGAAUCCUUCCGUGAAUCAUCUUGUAAAAGGGCUGAAUGGUGUCUCCAAGAUCCAAUUCAAUCCCAAGCUCUCGUCUACAGUGGAUAAUCCUCAAUGAGUCAUGAAAAGCUGCAGCGAGAGAUAAAUAAAAGAUAAAAGUGAAAAUAAAUGAAUGUUGAUUGGAUCCCUGUACUUCAGAUACCAUUCAAAGUUCAGCUAAUUUCUGGGUCCGAAAAGUCACCAUCGUAAGCUUCCUUCCUCUUUAUUAGUAUUAGUAUUGGUACUGGUACUGGGUACUAGUACUAGUACUUGUACUAGUGUUAUUGUUAUUCUUAUUCUUAUUCUUAUUGUUAUUGUUAUUAGUAUUAUCCGUGAGGCGAUCCAGACCUAUACAAUUGGAAGAACCAAUAUAUACGAGAAUUUCUUACAGCUUAUUAAUUGUGGAAGUAUUAAUCUUGUACCCAAGCAAAGGGCCAGUCAGAAUUUAAUACAUACUUGAGUUGAGCCUAUGUGUCUAGCGAUUCUAACCGUGAAAAAGGACGUUAGACACAUGGGCUCAACUCAAGUAUGUAUUAAAUUCUGACAGGCCUUUGCUCGGGCAAAAGAUUAAUACUUCCAUCCAGUCAAUAAGUUGUAAGAAAUUCUCGUAUAUUUCGGUUCUUCCAAUAGUAUAGGUCUGGAUGGUCGCGCGGAUUACCGCCAGCCCUUAGAUCCUGUCACUCUGGUAUCAUAGGAACUUUCAUGGUAAUUAUGUAAUAGAUCUACUCAUGGAAAUAGCAGAUGUGAGUACUAAGAGUACUCGACUUGAAGAGGUAGAUAUACCUCAAAAUCUUGACUUGUUAAACAAGUGGACUAUACCAAAGGUUGGUAUAAAAACCAUUUAUGAUUAUGGUUGGUUUUAUAAAGUUCUUUCUAAACAAAUAAUAAAGACAACUAGACAGUCUUUAGCAUUAAAUUCAUCUAAGAAACGAUUCGUUUGUUAAAUAAACGUGAUAUUGAUUUACAUAAAAAUCAUUAUAUUUUUAUGCAUAUUGAAAUGGUUCAAAUUGCUUUUAAACCAUUAACUCUUAAAGAGUUACCAGAGACAUUUUCAGCAGCUCUCAGAGAUUCUAGAAAUCUAAAUUUUCGAGUCUCUGAUGGGUUCAAUUGAAUCCACUGUGGUCUAUGGUCCAGUUUAUUUUAAGACUCAGCUAAAUUUGCAAUUAUCUUUGACUGAUGUGAAUAUACUUGAUGCUUUGACAUUAAAUGUAAAAACAUAUUGUUAUAUAUGUGCCUGAAUCUGAACUUAUAUGUUUAUCAUACAGGAUUUAUUAUAGAUUGUUGUCUACUUUAAAUCCUUGAUGUAAGUUAUACGAUACAUCAUAUCAGAUUAUAUUAGUUGAAACUAAUUUUGCAAGGUCUAAGGUCACUACUAGAAAACCUAUUAAAUGGGAUAAAAUUGAUUUUCCCACUACAUGGACCUUAAAUUCUGUUGUAUCUCCGAGUCAGGUUACAAAAAUGACCUGACAAAUAGCGACCUUUCGCGUGUUACAUAGGAUCCGAAUGGGCGGAUUUGUAU